rnacentral:rRNA from 1 species
UACGAAGGGUGCAAGCGUUGCUCGGAAUGACUGGGCGUAAAGGGCGCGUAGGCGGUUCGUACAGUCAGACGUGAAAUUCCUGGGCUCAACCUGGGGGCUGCGUUUGAUACGUGCGGACUUGAGUGCGGAAGAGGGUCGUGGAAUUCCCAGUGUAGAGGUGAAAUUCGUAGAUAUUGGGAAGAACACCGGUGGCGAAGGCGGCGACCUGGUCCGAUACUGACGCUGAGGCGCGAAAGCGUGGGGAGCAAACAGG